AGGUGAUGCCAACCCUCAAAGACCUCCUCCCCCGCCUGGUCCAACUAGCAGUGCCCUGCGUGCUACUCCUAAUGGACCUACAGGCAGGACUCAGGGGGCUCAUCACCCAGGCGAUUACAAUCCAAGUACCAUGACGGGUCGUGCUACUACAGGUGAUCAUGAUGGUCCUACUGCCCCAUUGGAGGCUGCAUCCCCUGCACAAGCUUCUGAUGAUUUUGUGCCCAGGGAUCCUCCAAGGUCUACUAAAAAGGGUAGGGCAAAGAGUUGACGGUACAAAUCGGCGCUGGAGCUACACCCAAAGAAGAAAAACAAAUGCAGCCAGUGCCAAUCUACAGAGCACACUGCUGGUGUGUGUCCACUC